UGGGUUGUAGCUAAAUGCAAAGGCGCUUGGCCG
rnacentral:tRNA from 1 species